GUGUUCGACAGCCGACCCAUAGAGUCCCUGUCCCUGACAGACGCCGUGACUCCUGACGUGGUGCAGACGCAGCAGCAGAAGUUCGGAGAGAAGCUCUCUCAGCAACAAGCCAGUGCAGCAGCCGCAGAGGCAGCAGCCAUGGCAAAGGUGGCAACCAUGACACCAGAUGCCCUUUCCCAGCAAAAUCCACCAAAGAAUGGAGAGGCAACAGUAAAUGGGGAAGAGAAAGGAGCACAUGCAAUCAAUAAUCACUGAAAGCCAAUGGAAAUAGAUGGGUAUGUUGAGAUUCCUCCCAACAAAGCCACAGUCCUUUGGGCCCAUGAGUCUGAGGUGUUCACUUGUGCCUGGAACUGUCAGUGAUUUGCUAGCUUCCAAAUCUGAAGACUCAACUGCAAAGAUAUGGAACCUGAAUGAGAAUGGCAACAGGGCCUCCACCCAGCUUAUGUUAAGGCACCGUAUACCAGAAGGGGCCAUGACAUCCCAAGUAACAAAGAUGUCAGAUGUCAUUUCACUGGACUGGAACAGUGAUGGAACACUAUUGGCUACGGGUUCAUAUGAUGGUUUCGCAAGAAUAUGGACAGAAAAUGGUAACCUGACCAGCACCUCAGGCCAACAUAAAGGCCCUAUCUUUGCCCUGAAAUGGAGCAAAAAAAGGGAAUUAUAUUUUGAGUACUGGUGUGGACAAAAGCACAGACAACAAUAAUUUGGGAUGCUCACACAGGAGAAACCAAACAGCAGUUUCCUUUUCAUUCAGAAUGAGGUCAACAUAUCAAAUGGGAUCCUUCUGGAAUGUUGCUGGCAUCCUGCUCUGAUGACAUGACAUUGAAGAUCUGGAGUAUGAAGCAGGACGCAUGCAUCCACGAUCUUUAGGCUCACAGCCAAGAGAUCUAUACCAUCAAGUGGAGCCCCACCGGGCCUCUGCCAGCAAGCCAAAACCUACAUCACGUUGGCAAUGCUUCAUUCAAUUUUGCAUUGAAACUGUGGGAUGUGGAGCCAGGCAUCUGAACCCACAUGCUCAAGAAACAU
rnacentral:lncRNA from 1 species